GCUGACGUGGCGCAAUUGGUAGCGCAAUACAUUUGUAAUGUAUGGGUUAAGGGUUCGACUCCCUUCGUCAGCU
rnacentral:tRNA from 1 species